rnacentral:rRNA from 1 species
CCUACGGGAGGCUGCAGUCGAGAAUCAUUCACAAUGGGGGAAACCCUGAUGGUGCGACGCCGCGUGGGGGAAUGAAGGUCUUCGGAUUGUAAACCCCUGUCAUGUGGGAGCAAAUUAAAAAGAUAGUACCACAAGAGGAAGAGACGGCUAACUCUGUGCCAGCAGCCGCGGUAAUACAGCGGUCUCAAGCGUUGUUCGGAAUCACUGGGCGUAAAGGGUGCGUAGGCUGUUUCGUAAGUCGUGUGUGAAAGGCGCGGGCUCAACCCGCGGAUGGCACAUGAUACUGCGAGACUAGAGUAAUGGAGGGGGAACCGGAAUUCUCGGUGUAGCAGUGAAAUGCGUAGAUAUCGAGAGGAACACUCGUGGCGAAGGCGGGUUCCUGGACAUUAACUGACGCUGAGGCACGAAGGCCAGGGGAGCGAAAGGGAUUAGAUACCCCUGUAGUC